rnacentral:rRNA from 1 species
GACGAACGCUGGCGGCGUGCUUAACACAUGCAAGUCGAACGCUGAAGCUCAGCUUUUGUUGGGUGGAUGAGUGGCGAACGGGUGAGUAACACGUGAGUAACCUGCCUCCUUCUUUGGGAUAACGCCCGGAAACGGGUGCUAAUACUGGAUAUUCACUGGUCUUCGCAUGGGGGUUGGUGGAAAGGGUUUUUCUGGUGGGGGAUGGGCUCGCGGCCUAUCAGCUUGUUGGUGGGGUGAUGGCCUACCAAGGCUUUGACGGGUAGCCGGCCUGAGAGGGUGACCGGUCACAUUGGGACUGAGAUACGGCCCAGACUCGGACGGGAGGCAGCAGUGGGGAAUAUUGCACAAUGGGCGCAAGCCUGAUGCAGCGACGCCGCGUGAGGGAUGGAGGCCUUCGGGUUGUGAACCUCUUUCGCUCAUGGUCAAGCCGCAACAAUGGUUGUGGUGAGGGUAGUGGGUAAAGAAGCGCCGGCUAACUACGUG